rnacentral:rRNA from 1 species
GACGAACGCUGGCGGCGUGCUUAACACAUGCAAGUCGAACGGAAAGGCCUGCUUUCCCUUGUGGAUUGCGGGUACUCGAGUGGCGAACGGGUGAGUAACACGUGAGUGAUCUGCCCCCAACUUGGGUAUAAGCCUGGGAAACUGGGUCUAAUUCCCGAUAGGACUGCAGGGUGGUGCCUGUGGUGGAAAACGAUUUUCUAGUGGUUGGGGAUGAGCUCGCGGCCUAUCAGCUUGUUGGUGGGGUAAUGGCCUACCAAGGCGGCGACGGGUAGCCGGCCUGAGAGGGUGGACGGCCACAUUGGGACUGAGAUACGGCCCAGACUCCUACGGGAGGCAGCAGUGGGGAAUAUUGCACAAUGGGCGGAAGCCUGAUGCAGCGACGCCGCGUGGGGGAUGACGGCCUUCGGGUUAUGAACUCCUUUCGACCGCGAGGAAGCCACCUGGUUGGAAGGGUGGUGACGGUAGUGGUAGAAGAAGCACCGGCUAACUACGUG